rnacentral:lncRNA from 1 species
UAAAGCAAGAAUAGGAAACCUGUGUUCUUAACCUCCAGAAAUGUGGAUUCACUACAGUUUGCAGACAGUAACUGCUUCCUUUAUAAUAGAAUUGUUCACUAAAUAAUUAGCCAUAGUCAAGUCAUGCAUACUGUACCAGAUUCUGCAUUUAGAACCCAGAGGAUGCCUUAAAGUAAUAUUGGGUCUUUCCAAUCACUCAACUGUGAAGUUGUCAAUAGGUAUUUCGAGUGAGAUUAUGAG